rnacentral:rRNA from 1 species
CAGGCCUAACACAUGCAAGUCGAGCGGACCAUUCCUUCGGGGAUGGUUAGCGGCGGACGGGUGAGUAACACGUAGGCAACCUGCCUGUAAGAUCGGGAUAACUACCGGAAACGGUAGCUAAGACCGGAUAGCUGGUUUCUCCGCAUGGGGGAAUCAUGAAACACGGGGCAACCUGUGGCUUACGGAUGGGCCUGCGGCGCAUUAGCUAGUUGGUGGGGUAACGGCCCACCAAGGCGACGAUGCGUAGCCGACCUGAGAGGGUGAUCGGCCACACUGGGACUGAGACACGGCCCAGACUCCUACGGGAGGCAGCAGUAGGGAAUCUUCCGCAAUGGGCGCAAGCCUGACGGAGCAACGCCGCGUGAGUGAUGAAGGUUUUCGGAUCGUAAAGCUCUGUUGCCAAGGAAGAACGCCUCGGAGAGUAACUGCUCUGAGGGUGACGGUACUUGAGAAGAAAGCCCCGGCUAACUACGUGCCAGCAGCCGCGGUAAUACGUAGGGGGCAAGCGUUGUCCGGAAUUAUUGGGCGUAAAGCGCGCGCAGGCGGUCUUUUAAGUUUGGUGUUUAAGCCCGGGGCUCAACCCCGGUUCGCACUGAAAACUGGGAGACUUGAGUGCAGGAGAGGAAAGCGGGAUUCCACGUGUAGCGGUGAAAUGCGUAGAGAUGUGGAGGAACACCAGUGGCGAAGGCGGCUUUCUGGACUGUAACUGACGCUGAGGCGCGAAAGCGUGGGGAGCAAACAGGAUUAGAU